GAGUCUUUGCAGUAAUGCAAGGCAUACGGCUCAGUAACACGUAGUCAACCUACCCUAUGGACGAGAAUAAUCUCGGGAAACUGAGCAUAAUUCUUGAUAGAUCAUAAUGCCUGGAAUGGUUUAUGGUUAAAAUGAUUCGUCGCCAUAGGAUGGGACUGCGGCCUAUCAGCUUGUUGGUGAGGUAAUGGCCCACCAAGGCGAUUACAGGUACGGGCUCUGAGAGGAGAAGCCCGGAGAUGGGUACUGAGACACGGACCCAGGCCCUAUGGGGCGCAGCAGGCGAGAAAACUUUGCAAUGUGCGAAAGCACGACAAGGUUAAUCCGAGUGAUUUCUGCUAAAGAAAUCUUUUACCAGUCGUAAAACCGCUGGUGAAUAAGGGGUGGGCAAGUUCUGGUGUCAGCCGCCGCGGUAAAACCAGCACCUCAAGUGGUCAGGAUGAUUAUUGGGCCUAAAGCAUCCGUAGCCGGCUUUGUAAGUUUUCGGUUAAAUCCAUGUGCUCAACGCAUGGGCUGCCGAAAAUACUGCAUAGCUAGGGAGUGGGAGAGGUAGACGGUACUCAGUAGGUAGGGGUAAAAUCCUUUGAUCUAUUGAUGACCACCUGUGGCGAAGGCGGUCUACCAGAACACGUUCGACGGUGAGGGAUGAAAGCUGGGGGAGCAAACCGGAUUAGAUACCCGGGUAGUCCCAGCUGUAAACGAUGCAGACUAGAUGAUGCAUUGGCAUAAUAGCCAUUGCAGUGUCUCAGGGAAGCCGUUAAGUCUGCCGCCUGGGAAGUACGUACGCAAGUAUGAAACUU
rnacentral:rRNA from 1 species